GAGCGCUAUACUGACAUUCGUUGCGGGUUACUCGAUGUAACGUGGACUGGUACUCCAACAACAGAAAAUGAGAAGAAAACAGGAAAGAUAACAGCAGCGACGUGACGUCUGAUAAAAUAAUCCAGACGCCCUCCAAUCUUGAAGAUGUCACCUCGUUGCAUUCCUGAAAAUUUCUAAACGCUCGAAACACUUGCUGAUACAGAGAGACAGAGCGCAGAACAUGGAAGACAGAGACACUGAACUGCUUCAAGGAUUCUGUGUGAACUCUCAGGUCAAGAAGAGUCAACACGCUUUAACUUCCUGUCUCCUCCGUCAAGACGAAAGGAGCGAGGGACAAGACAAAGAAAAAUCGUAGUAUUUGUCUCCACCUGUUAAGCACAUGCAACAACGAGAAGUUUCGGUCAUGUCGAGGCUGGGAUAGAAAAGGACCUAAGACUGGUGUCCACCCUAUUCAGCUACCAGACAACAAGGGACAGUGAGGUGUGACAUGGACUCUGGCGACGGCGGCUGGCUGGUACAUGUGGUCGUGUUUGUCCGUGUGUAUGACUCAGGUAGCAUCUCUCCUGCUCAAUGUAUACUGCGGACACCACAUAUACCAAGGGAAACAUACUACUUCACAUCUCAUAUUAUCAAAGAAUAAUUUUUCUUUGAUAUCUUUCUACAUUUUCAACACGAAGUAGGAGAGUGUGUUUGUCCACCUUCUGUUUCCAACAGUUUGUCUAUGUCGCUGGUAUACUCCGUAGGUUGAUGGUGGUCCCAGACAGGCCGACAUUUAGUGUUUUGGUGUGCAAUCAAAUCAAAACAUAUGUCUGCCAAAGUUUAGGAGUAAACAAACCUGGUCAACCAUCUCGACACUAAUUUUUGAACCCGCUUUUCUCAAAAUGGCCGCCACCGUACUUUCAUACUUCAAACGUUGGUAACUCAAUGGUAAAACUAGAACAACUUUUGUAUCAAACGAAAGUUCAUAGCGUGUAACUUUUAAAAAUAUGCAAAUUAUCAAAUCUCAAAUUUCCGACUUAAGACUUAAUUUGUCUUGGCGGAUAACAUUUCCCAAUUAAUAAUUUGCGUCCAGUCAAAACCUGACAUCUCAAAACAGAUUGAAAACAACACAAUGACUAAACCUCACUGAACAUGAUUUUACAUAACUAAAUUACUAUUUAGACAAGUCUGAUAAGGACUUUACAAUAAAGCUCUGAUGAAAACGGUCAGAAACUCCCAAGAAAGCAAAAAAAAAAUAAAAUAAAUAAAAUAAAAUAAAAAUAAAAAUAAUCCCAGACAAGAAGAGAAAACUUGCGGAAAUCUCUUGUCCUUUCUCUUCUCCCCCAAUCAUUACACUUGUUUUUUCAAGUUCCAUCAAAGGAAUCGAAGCGAUAAAAGACGCUAUCACCCACGCAAACCUACACACUCACAAAUGUAGUGAUCCACUUAUUUCUUAACCAGCCAGACAGGAAGCCUGCCAGCUAACCUGUGGUCACGUUCGUACCCUCGUCACUCGAGGGGCCGGACAAGUGAAGUGUGAAGUCUGUGUGAGGACCAAGCACACAGAAUGAAGAUUACUCAGCCCAGUGAUCUCUCCCUGACAAAGCUACCAGGUCCACUCCCAAGCGCCAUGGUCUGUAUCUUGUCAAUAUGCAAAUCGCGGACAGACCUGAGAUAAGACAUGGCAAUUAUCUCGUGUUAAUGGAGAAGUCGAGCAGUGAAAUAUUUGCAUUGAUCUUGCUCAAGAACCACAGAAGUAUCGCUGGUCAUUACCUCUAAUAUGAUGUUAUAAAAAUUUUGACAUUAUUCUUAGAUGAUGAAAAUGGUAAGUCACACAUUUAUUGACUUUAAAUGCUGUGUUAUUACUACCAAUAAUAAGGCGUAUUUUCCAUGUAAACACGAGGUAAAUGCGGUGCAUACAAAAAACAUAAACAAAUCGACAGUCAAUCAUACUGAAACAUAAGGAUAAGCAUCAGAAAACAUACAUGAACAUAAAUUGUUGAACAGAUAACUCCAGGAAUGGAAGAAGAAUUAAUUAGCGGGUAGAACUGUACUCCUAAUUCGAAAAUAUAUUUAUGGAAGAGAAAGGUUUUAUUAUGGAAGUAUUUGAAGGCUUAGAAUGAAGGCACAAGGCGAGGAGAGGGAGAAAAUUUCAAGCAGUGUGGCUUGAGAAGGAAAAGGAGAGUUUGCCGAAUUUCGGUCUAGUGUAUGACACAGAGAAGACAACAACACAGACUAGGGUGGUAAGGUGUCAAUACAGAGACACAUAUUUGCGUGCAAACUCAGACAUAUAGAGUUUUAUUUACACACAAAGAGAAAUAUCUUUAAAAUGGUAUGGAACUCUUAUUAUGACACAUAUACACAGAUGGUUAUAAGACCCUUUUCACAGACUAGAUGUAAACAAAUAUAGAUAAACAGAUUGGUUGAAGGACAUUUUUACAUCCUAUAUCCUUUUUCCCGACAAGGCAAAAUUAUUAAUAUUACUGCACGAAAUGUUUUAGCUACAGUGCAUCAAUCCACAGCUCAGACUGUGCCAUGUCUUUAGUUUACCGUAUUCACCUUGGCAUCUAGAACUCGUAUUUUUGAAAAUUAUUAAUUAUUCAAUGUUAUCAAUUAUUAUUCAUCUAGAAUGACCGCGAAUGAAAUUUCGACUGGUAUUUUUAAAACAUCAUAUUUAAUAUCCUACAAUAAAAAUAACUAUCUGUGAAAUUCCCUUUUAAAGAUUAUUUAACACAUUUACUUGGUGUAAAUGUUAUCAAAUAUGCGUUUUGUUGUCUUUUAGUAAAAUCAACUGAAAGACUAACUGUAUCGGACGGAGAACUCACUAAUUGGGAAGUAGUUCAAGAGUUCGACAAUCAGAAAAAAUAUUUAUAAAAUAUAUGC
rnacentral:lncRNA from 1 species